rnacentral:tRNA from 1 species
CGCUCAGCCUCAAGGCGACACUUUCUAGAAAGUGUCGCCUUGUUUUGUGUUCUAAUUGCUUUAUGCCUUUUUC